rnacentral:rRNA from 1 species
AUGAACGCUAGCUACAGGCUUAACACAUGCAAGUCGAGGGGCAGCAUGGUCUUAGCUUGCUAAGGCCGAUGGCGACCGGCGCACGGGUGAGUAACACGUAUCCAACCUGCCGUCUACUCUUGGACAGCCUUCUGAAAGGAAGAUUAAUACAAGAUGGCAUCAUGAGUCCGCAUGUUCACAUGAUUAAAGGUAUUCCGGUAGACGAUGGGGAUGCGUUCCAUUAGAUAGUAGGCGGGGUAACGGCCCACCUAGUCUUCGAUGGAUAGGGGUUCUGAGAGGAAGGUCCCCCACAUUGGAACUGAGACACGGUCCAAACUCCUACGGGAGGCAGCAGUGAGGAAUAUUGGUCAAUGGGCGAGAGCCUGAACCAGCCAAGUAGCGUGAAGGAUGACUGCCCUAUGGGUUGUAAACUUCUUUUAUAAAGGAAUAAAGUCGGGUAUGGAUACCCGUUUGCAUGUACUUUAUGAAUAAGGAUCGGCUAACUCCGUGCCAGCAGCCGCGGUAAUACGGAGGAUCCGAGCGUUAUCCGGAUUUAUUGGGUUUAAAGGGAGCGUAGAUGGAUAUUUAAGUCAGUUGUGAAAGUUUGCGGCUCAACCGUAAAAUUGCAGUUGAUACUGGAUAUCUUGAGUGCAGUUGAGGCAGGCGGAAUUCGUGGUGUAGCGGUGAAAUGCUUAGAUAUCACGAAGAACUCCGAUUGCGAAGGCAGCCUGCUAAGCUGCAACUGACAUUGAGGCUCGAAAGUGUGGGUAUCAAACAGGAUUAGAUACCCUGGUAGUCCACACGGUAAACGAUGAAUAUUCGCUGUUUGCGAUAUACUGCAAGCGGCCAAGCGAAAGCGUUAAGUAUUCCACCUGGGGAGUACGCCGGCAACGGUGAAACUCAAAGGAAUUGACGGGGGCCCGCACAAGCGGAGGAACAUGUGGUUUAAUUCGAUGAUACGCGAGGAACCUUACCCGGGCUUAAAUUGCAGAUGAAUUACGGUGAAAGCCGUAAGCCGCAAGGCAUCUGUGAAGGUGCUGCAUGGUUGUCGUCAGCUCGUGCCGUGAGGUGUCGGCUUAAGUGCCAUAACGAGCGCAACCCUUGUUGUCAGUUACUAACAGGUUCCGCUGAGGACUCUGACAAGACUGCCAUCGUAAGAUGUGAGGAAGGUGGGGAUGACGUCAAAUCAGCACGGCCCUUACGUCCGGGGCUACACACGUGUUACAAUGGGGGGUACAGAGGGCCGCUACCACGCGAGUGGAUGCCAAUCCCCAAAACCUCUCUCAGUUCGGACUGGAGUCUGCAACCCGACUCCACGAAGCUGGAUUCGCUAGUAAUCGCGCAUCAGCCACGGCGCGGUGAAUACGUUCCCGGGCCUUGUACACACCGCCCGUCAAGCCAUGGGAGCCGGGGGUACCUGAAGUGCGUAACCGCGAGGAGCGCCCUAGGGUAAAACUGGUGACUGGGGCU